rnacentral:piRNA from 1 species
UGUGUGUUAUAGCCUCAUGGGUCUACGCAA